rfam:Salmo salar isolate Sally breed double haploid chromosome ssa20, whole genome shotgun sequence.
UGCAUGCACUACUGCAAAUUGCUUUGCAUAAAAGCAUCUGCUAAAUGGUAUAUA